AGCGAACGCUGGCGGCAGGCCUAACACAUGCAAGUCGAACGAAUCCUUCGGGAUUAGUGGCGGACGGGUGAGUAACACGUGGGAACGUGCCCUUUGGUACGGAACAACUCAGGGAAACUUGAGCUAAUACCGUAUGUGCCCUUCGGGGGAAAGAUUUAUCGCCGAGGGAUCGGCCCGCGUCCGAUUAGCUAGUUGGUGGGGUAAUGGCCCACCAAGGCGACGAUCGGUAGCUGGUCUGAGAGGAUGAUCAGCCACACUGGGACUGAGACACGGCCCAGACUCCUACGGGAGGCAGCAGUGGGGAAUAUUGGACAAUGGGCGCAAGCCUGAUCCAGCCAUGCCGCGUGAGUGAAGAAGGCCCUAGGGUUGUAAAGCUCUUUCAGCGGGGAAGAUAAUGACGGUACCCGCAGAAGAAGCCCCGGCUAACUUCGUGC
rnacentral:rRNA from 1 species